UACGAAGGGGGCUAGCGUUGCUCGGAAUCACUGGGCGUAAAGCGCACGUAGGCGGAUUGCUAAGUCAGGGGUGAAAUCCUGGAGCUCAACUCCAGAACUGCCCUUGAUACUGGCGGUCUCGAGUCCGGGAGAGGUGAGUGGAACUGCGAGUGUAGAGGUGAAAUUCGUAGAUAUUCGCAAGAACACCAGUGGCGAAGGCGGGUCUCUGGGCAUCUCCUGACGCUGAGGCGGCGAAAAGCGUGGGGAGCA
rnacentral:rRNA from 1 species